UGGGGAAUUUUGGACAAUGGGCGAAAGCCUGAUCCAGCAAUGCCGCGUGUGUGAAGAAGGCCUUCGGGUUGUAAAGCACUUUUGUCCGGAAAGAAAUCCUUGGCUCUAAUACAGUCGGGGGAUGACGGUACCGGAAGAAUAAGCACCGGCUAACUACGUGCCAGCAGCCGCGGCAAUACGUAGGGUGCAAGCGUUAAUCGGAAUUACUGGGCGUAAAGCGUGCGCAGGCGGUUUGCUAAGACCGAUGUGAAAUCCCCGGGCUCAACCUGGGAACUGCAUUGGUGACUGGCAGGCUAGAGUAUGGCAGAGGGGGGUAGAAUUCCACGUGUAGCAGUGAAAUGCGUAGAGAUGUGGAGGAAUACCGAUGGCGAAGGCAGCCCCCUGGGCCAAUACUGACGCUCAUGCACGAAAGCGUGGGGAGCAAACAGGAUUAGAUACCCUGGUAGUCCACGCCCUAAACGAUGUCAACUAGUUGUUGGGGAUUCAUUCCUUAGUAACGUAGCUAACGCGUGAAGUUGACCGCCUGGGGAGUACGGUCGCAAGAUUAAAACUCAAAUGAAUUGACGGGGUCAUAGCUGUUUCCU
rnacentral:rRNA from 1 species